GUAACCUUUUGAUGGAUGUGUCUAUUACUCAACAACUCCAUCUUACAUGACAGACAUAUAGAUUAAGAAGACAAUGAAGGUCGAACUGCAGGCUGCUAAUCAGGAUCUGUGACUAUCAUCUUUUCCAGGAUAAACUGAUGGACCUUAUUCAGUUAUACAAGAGGACAUGCAACGUCCAUUACUAUUCUUUCAAAUGGGAUUUCAUUACAGAGAUUUUCUCCCUGUGCCUGUGCUGAAAAUGGUUAAAAAUAUCUGGUCGGACCUUCCC